GCCAAAAUAGCUCAGUUGGGAGAGCGUUAGACUGAAGAUCUAAAGGUCCCUGGUUCAAUCCCGGUUUUUGGCA
rnacentral:tRNA from 1 species